rnacentral:rRNA from 1 species
AGCGAGAGGUGCUUGCACCUUUCAAGCGAGUGGCGAACGGGUGAGUAAACGUGGAUAACCUGCCUCAAGGCUGGGGAUAACAUUUGGAAACAGAUGCUAAUACCGAAUAAAACUUAGUAUCGCAUGAUAUCAAGUUAAAAGGCGCUACGGCGUCACCUAGAGAUGGAUCCGCGGUGCAUUAGUUAGUUGGUGGGGUAAAGGCUUACCAAGACGAUGAUGCAUAGCCGAGUUGAGAGACUGAUCGGCCACAUUGGGACUGAGACACGGCCCAAACUCCUACGGGAGGCUGCAGUAGGGAAUCUUCCACAAUGGGCGCAAGCCUGAUGGAGCAACGCCGCGUGUGUGAUGAAGGCUUUCGGGUCGUAAAGCACUGUUGUAUGGGAAGAAAUGCUAAAAUAGGGAAUGAUUUUAGUUUGACGGUACCAUACCAGAAAGGGACGGCUAAAUACGUGCCAGCAGCCGCGGUAAUACGUAUGUCCCGAGCGUUAUCCGGAUUUAUUGGGCGUAAAGCGAGCGCAGACGGUUGAUUAAGUCUGAUGUGAAAGCCCGGAGCUCAACUCCGGAAUGGCAUUGGAAACUGGUUAACUUGAGUGUUGUAGAGGUAAGUGGAACUCCAUGUGU